rnacentral:RNase_P_RNA from 1 species
CCAGAUGGCCGGACGGCCGCUGAUCUCCGCCGGGUGCGGGGGUUGGAGGAAAGUCCGGGCUCCACGGGAACACGGUGCCGGUCAACGACCGGCGGGGAUGCCCGGUGCCGCAAGGCGCCAGGUGGCCCUAGGGACAGUGCCACAGAAAACAAACCGCCGGGCUCGCCGCGAGGCUGCCAGGCAAGGGUGAAACGGUGCGGUAAGAGCGCACCGCGCUUCUGGCAACAGGGGCGGCAGGGCAAACCCCACCGGGAGCAAGGCCGAAUAGGGGUGGCCGGCGAGGUGCCGCAAGGCAUUGGCGCAGGGGGGUUCCAGCCCCGUCACCCGGGUUGGCCGCGAGAAGCCUGUGGCGACACAGGCUCCAGAGGAAUGGUCGUCCCCUGCAGCGAUGCAGGGACAGAACCCGGCUUACAGGCCAUCUGGCGCU